GACGAACGCUGGCGGCGUGCUUAACACAUGCGAGUCGAACGGAAAGGCCCUGCGUUUGUGGGGUGCUCGAGUGGCGAACGGGUGAGUAACACGUGAGUAACCUGCCCUUGACUUUGGGAUAACUUCAGGAAACUGGGGCUAAUACCGGAGAGGAGCUCCUGCUGCAUGGGGGGGGUUGGAAAGUUUCGGCGGUUGGGGAUGGACUCGCGGCUUAUCAGCUUGUUGGUGGGGUAGUGGCUUACCAAGGCUUUGACGGGUAGCCGGCCUGAGAGGGUGACCGGCCACCUUGCGCCUGCGAUACGGCCCAGACUCCUACGGGCGGCAGCAGUGGGGAAUAUUGCGCAAUGGGCGGAAGCCUGUUGCAGCAACGCCGCGUGCGGGAUGCCGGCCUUCGGGUUGUAAACCGCUUUCGCCUGUGACGAAGCGUGAGUGACGGUAAUGGGUAAAGAAGCACCGGCUAACUACGUG
rnacentral:rRNA from 1 species